CAAACUUAGGCCGGUAGGUUUAGUCGAUCUCUUACGAUGCGCCGGUCUCCCGCCGCUCGCUGACGGCAAUUCUGGUUGUCCAGAUCGGUUAGGCAUCUGACGCACGUUCAUUUUAGUGUUGUUGGGCGAUGCGGCGAGAAUUUGUGGGAGAUGAGUGUAGGAAUCUCCGAACGAUCGCCAAAGCUAUUGUGAGCGAAAGUUAUCAUCUUCUCGUGCGUUUUAAACUAUUUUUGUUUUAAAUAUACAUAGAGCACGAUCUAUAUUUUUUCUACAGUGUUAAUCGAGAUAACUUGGACUUGGACUUAGAUUUGAACAUACCACAAAGGUAUAUUCGAGAUAUAAAAAAUAUCUUAGAGGAACUUACUGAAGCCGAUUUUAGAAAACGAUUUUGUUUCUCAAAGGAAAUUGUGCUAAAUGUUAUCAUUAAUCAAUCACCAGGAACAAAUUACAAAUCUAGGCCUUCCUGUUCUUUUGAUAAUAUAUAUUUUUAAUGAAU